rnacentral:lncRNA from 1 species
GGAUCUGGAUUAGCUCUGCUGCCUGUGUGCCUUCUCCUGUUGGACAUUGGAGAAUGACUACGGCUCCUUCGACGACGAUAUUCUGGCGUGUACGAUCUGCUUCGAGAACGUCUCCUAUGGGAAUGAGAAUGGGAAUGGGAUCUGGAGCGAGUGUAACGUCUGUGCGAGUGCCUUCUGGACCUGGAUCUCGAUUUUGAUCUUGACCUAGAGUGUGAUUCAGAAUGUUUGGAAGCUCUCGAUGGACUGCGAGAUCCUGACCUGCUCUCCGAUUUUACACGAGCAGGACUCCCAGCUGGAGAUUUUGACUGGGAGCGAGACUCCUAACAAAAAGAACAGUAUUACAAAUGGUAUUGGUUGUAUAAAUGCCUAACUCCUAACAUUUAAAUACAGUAAUUCUAUUAUAUUGAUUGCUCCUGAAAAACAAAUGGUUAGGGAAUACCCUCCAGGACAAAUUUCAUUUUGCUAGCCCACUGUUAAUAUUGUAUGCUUUCCUCAAAUAGAUCCCUGCUCGAACCAGAUCACCAAUUCUCUAUUAACUAAGUAAUCAUGCAAAUUCAUCUACAACUUGAUCAUACAGACACUGGAACAUAAACCAUACAUUUACUUAACCUAGGACCCAUUCAUUCUUCCAGAUUCUUUUAAUUCUACUUCACUCUUGCUUUCUACUUUUCUUCAUUCUUCAUUGAGUUUUUCAUUUUUCAUACUUCGUGUAUUCUUCCCCAAU